CACUGCAAGCUCUGCCUCCCGGGUUGACACCAUUUUCCUGCCUCAGCCUCCUGAGUAACUGGGACUACAGGCACCCGCCACCACGCCUGGCUAUUUUUUUCCAUUUUUAGUAGAGACGGGGUUUCACCAUGUUAGCCAGGAUGGUCUCGAUCUCCUGACCUGGUGAUCCGCCCGCCUCGGCCUCCCAAAGUGCUGGGAUUACAGGCAUGAGCCACCGCGCCCGGCCUUAAACACGUUGUUUAAUACAGCCUCACUCAUGGUUUCCUGAGGCAUCUGAAGAAUGAAACACCUCAGGGAAGACAGAGAAGAGGUCACGUGAACACACCAAAAAGAUGGCCAUUGUCCAUGAGCUGGAAAGAGAGCCCUCACCAGAACCCAGCCAUCCUGCACCCUGAUCAUGGACUUCUAGCCUCGAGAAUUGUGAGAAAAUAAAUCUCUGUUAUUUGA